GACGAACGCUGGCGGCGUGCUUAACACAUGCCAGUCGAACGGUGAAGCGCCUUCCUUUUUGGUGGGUGUGGAUGAGUGGCGAACGGGUGAGUAACACGUGAGUAACCUGCCCCCUUCUUCUGGAUAACCGCAUGAAAGUGUGGCUAAUACGGGAUAUUCUGGGUCUGUCGCAUGAUGGGUCUGGGAAAGAUAUUGUUUCGGUGGGGGAUGGGCUCGCGGCCUAUCAGCUUGUUGGUGGGGUGAUGGCCUACCAAGGCGGUGACGGGUAGCCGGCCUGAGAGGGUGGACGGUCACACUGGGACUGAGACACGACCCAGACUCCUACGGGAGGCAGCAGUGGGGAAUAUUGCACAAUGGGCGCAAGCCUGAUGCAGCGACGCCGCGUGAGGGAUGGAGGCCUUCGGGUUGUGAACCUCUUUCGCCAGUGAAGCAGGCCUGCCUCGUUUGUGGGUGGGUUGACGGUAGCUGGAUAAGAAGCGCCGGCUAACUACGUG
rnacentral:rRNA from 1 species